rnacentral:tRNA from 1 species
UGUGGCUCAGUGGCAGAGCACUUGCCUUGCUUGCAUGAGGCACUGGGUUCAACCCUCAGCA